rnacentral:tRNA from 1 species
GUCGUCGGUGGCGGGGCGGUCGGCGGUGAGGGUCAUCGGGCUACCUGCCUGGUCCUUGGGCUGGGGUUCGGUUCCGGUCCGGGCGUCGGCGC